rnacentral:rRNA from 1 species
UGCUGUGUUGUUGUCCAGCCUCACAAGCUAGGCAGGCUUAGACCUUGUCGGCACUUGGAUGGGAGACCUCUGAGGAGACCCCAGCUGCUACAGGAC